CUUCUAUAUAUAUCAAACUCAGGCUCUAACAUUCUGCACCACACCCCAACCGUCCUCCAAGGAUGCGUGUUCAAUUGAACGUUGCUAUGCCCACCAUGUCCGCAAGGUCUUUCCUUCGCGCGGCCAUGUUGCUGCUGGUCCAGCUGGCUGGCAUCUACCUCGCACACGCAACGCAUCCCCGGAGCUGUAGUACCUCAGACCCCAAUGCACCCUGCCGCCCUCCAGGCCCUCCAAAUUAGCAGUGUUCUCGGCCACCGUGUUAGAAUUCUUGGUUGUCAGGACUCAGGAUCUGAGUAGGGUUGCAAUCCACGUUUUCAAACCGGUGAGAAAGGCUGACUUCAGUGGGAAUGAGUUCACAGGUUUAUUUCCUUAUCUCUCUGCGCAUGCAUGAUUGUGAGAUAAAAAUAUAUCUUUCCUGGUCCACCUUCCAUGGGUCCAGGCUUGUGUCAUGUACAGUGGGUACAGUUUCGUAAAAAUUUGUGAGUGGUUAAAUCUUCAAUGUAAAGUGAAUAAAAUAUAUUAUUUUGAUACUUCAUGUGUGUA